UACGACUACAUAUCAGGCAUAUCAAUAAGCGGAGGAAAAGAAACUAACAAGGAUUCCCUUAGUAACGGCGAGUGAAGCGGGAAGAGCUCAGAUUUGAAAUCUUCAAGGUUCUACCUUGACGAAUUGUAGUUUAAAGAAGUGUUUUCUGUUGAAGUUUUGGUAAAAGUUCUUUGGAAUAGGACAUCAUAGAGGGUGAGAAUCCCGUAUUUGACCAUUAUUUUCCAACUGUGUGAUGACACUUUCAAAGAGUCGGAUUGUUUGGGAAUGCAGUCCAAAAUGGGUGGUAAAUUUCAUCUAAAGCUAAAUAUUGGCGAGAGACCGAUAGCGAACAAGUACCGUGAGGGAAAGAUGAAAAGAACUUUGAAAAGAGAGUUAAACAGUACGUGAAAUUGUCAAAAGGGAAGCGUUUGACACCAGUGUUGUUUUCUCGAAAAUCAAUUAAAAAUAGUCAGGAUUUUGUGUUGUAUUGACUUUAAUCAGCUUGCUGCACUCUUUUCAUUGUCUUUUUAAUGCACUUUUCGUUUAACAAGUCAACAUCAAGUUUCUUUUGUUGUAAAAGAGGUCAUUCGGAAGGUGGCUUUCUCUUUCGGAGAAAGUGUUUAUAGCCCUAUGAUCUUCUAGCAAUCGGAGAGACUUGAGGUCUGCAGCGUAGAUCCUUCGGGGUUAGAUACAUUUGUGCUAAGCUACAGCUUUUCAUAGACAACUUGUUGACUAUGUUUAGUCUUGUGACUUACCCGCUUAUGCUAUUUUACCUACGCUUAGGAUGUUGAGCGCAUGUCUCUCUCU
rnacentral:rRNA from 1 species